AAGCAAUUAUACCGCGAAACGGCGAAUGGCUCAUUAAAUCAGUUAUCGUUUAUUUGAUAGCACCUUACUACUUGGAUAACCGUGGUAAUUCUAGAGCUAAUACAUGCUGAAAAUCCCAACUUCGGAAGGGAUGUAUUUAUUAGAUUAAAAACCAAUGCCCUCCGGGGCUCACUGGUGAUUCAUGAUAACUUCUCGAAUCGCAUGGCCUUGCGCCGGCGAUGGUUCAUUCAAAUUUCUGCCCUAUCAACUUUCGACUGCUGGGUCUUGGCCAGCAAUGGUGACAACGGGUAACGGAGGGUUAGGGCUCGACCCCGGAGAAGGAGCCUGAGAAACGGCUACUACAUCCAAGGAAGGCAGCAGGCGCGCAAAUUACCCAAUCCCGACACGGGGAGGUAGUGACAAUAAAUACUGAUACAGGGCUCUUUUGGGUCUUGUAAUUGGAAUGAGUACAAUUUAAAUCCCUUAACGAGGAACAAUUGGAGGGCAAGUCUGGUGAAGAUGCUGGCGCCGGAGAUAGUAAGCCCGUUAAAUUACUAGUCGAGCAUUCGCCAUCGGCGGGAGAAUGCCGGCGAGACAACCCGGAUCGGGGGAGGUUACGGAGCUUUGGCUCUAUACCAACCCCGGACAGAGCCUACGUCUACACGACCUAGGCCUGUUUAGAGCGCGGAAGGGUGUCGGUCCUGCACGUUCGGAUGCGUAAAAGCAUCUGAUUUCAGGGCUUAAGGGACGUGCCAACCCCCUGUGAAAGCAGGGUAUUGCCUCAGAGUGCCCGCCGCACAAUGAGACUAUAGGUAUCUCAGCGAGAGAGCCGUACUGUAAAAAUGGCCAGCAGCCGCGGUAAUUCCAGCUCCAAUAGCGUAUAUUAAAGU
rnacentral:rRNA from 1 species